CUCCAUCCAGAAAGAGCACACACCAAAUGCAGAGCCUUCCUCAGCCUGACGAACGGUUUUUAAACCCAAAAGCUUGCUAAGAAAAAAAAUGUCCAACUAUUGUUAAGUUGGUCAAAUAAACGAGAUCAGCUUCACCCAAAGAACCGUGUCUGGGUAUCCCUGGAAUUCGAAACAGCAAGAGGCUGAAGAUGUGGCGUAAGCCCCUCUUAAGCCCCAAGCCCAUGGCUGAUCCUGGAGUUGGGAAAGAAAUCACUCCUCCCCACCUCCUGAGUUCAUGCCUCCACACACCCAUGCUAUCCCCAGGCCCCCUGGGGCCUGAUCAAGAGGCUCAGGUACACUGAUGCAGAGCCAAGCAAGUCAGCUGAGGUCCUGAGGCCUCUCUCCCGCCUGCAUUUUGCUUCAUGCAAGCUGGUGCAAGGGGGGGGGGGGUGCACUGGAUCAGCAAACUCACCUCUUUCAGCUGCUCCAGCUCCUGCUUGAGGCCAUCAUAUUCCGCCUCCAGCUCGUCAUACUGCUGCUUCAGGGAAAUGAGCAUUGCCUGCCAAAUUGCCUCCAUGGUCCCUACCCUGAGACAGCAUCGCCCCAAGGUUCAGGACUCUUCACUUGCAUGCAAAAAACAGAACAAAACAGGGAGAGCAUUAUAAUACACACAGAGGGAUAGCCUGUUAUGAACACAGGCUGACCUCUCUGUGCAUGGUGCCUGCAGCAGUGCAUUCUUAGAAGUUUAUGCCUUGUGUUUGGAUUUAAGAUGCUGUAUAUGUUUAGUAAUGCCACCAGACUGUCUAAUUUCUAAGUCUUUCCUGUACAUGUUCAUUAAGUUCCUGAGGGCAAAGCAGGACUGGAAAACUGA